rnacentral:rRNA from 1 species
UACGUAGGGCGCAAGCGUUGUCCGGAUUUAUUGGGCGUAAAGCGCGCGCAGGCGGCUCUUUAAGUCUGAUGUGAAAGCCCACGGCUCAACCGUGGAGGGUCAUUGGAAACUGGGGAACUUGAGUGCAGAAGAGGAAAGUGGAAUUCCACGCGUAGCAGUGAAAUGCGUAGAGAUGUGGAGGAACACCAGUGGCGAAGGCGACUUUCUGGUCUGUAACUGACGCUGAGGCGCGAAAGCGUGGGGAGCAAACAGG